rnacentral:lncRNA from 1 species
CAAGGCGGAACCCAAGCGCAUCCAGGCCGCAUGAACCAUUGGUGAUAGUGGAUGUGAUCUUCACAGAUGAAGCCUUGAUGAAAGCCAUCUGCAAGGCAGAUGGUCUUGUCAUGCAAAGGAAUCUAUGUAUUUGUUUUGCAGCUGAACCUCGCACGCAAAUGCGUAUCAAACUUCAAAUACCUGGUUGAUAAGUUACCUGAAUGUGCCAAGAUAAAUAUCUGAACAUGGUAGAAUACCAGGUAUAAACGUAGUCCAAGCUAGUGGAGUUUGUGGUAUAGUUUUAUACUUUGAUGUUGUUACCCAACCCCCCGUGGUAGCCAUAGACCCCGCUCGAAGCCCCCCGACACACACACACACACACACACACACACACACACAAACACAAACACACACACACACACACACACAUACACACACAGACACACACACACAAACCAGGCAAAUAGCACUGCCCCAAACUUACUGCUAGUUUGUGAUGUCUGGCGCACUUGUAAGGCGCGCUUGAUGUGUGUUGCAAUGCCUGGGAAAGAACACAGUCACAUUAUGUUUCUGAAAUAAGAAUUGUUGUGUGCAUGGAGUCGGGCAUGAAGCUGUCGAUCUGUGGCUCUAGGCGUCUAUGAGAUAUGGCCCUAGAUAUCUAAGUCGUCGCCUGGGAAUCUCUCAAGGGAGCCACCCCUUUCUGUCCAUUCACUUGUGCGUUUCAUGUAUCUCAUAUGCUAUAUAGGAACUGUCAUGCUGGUUUCGAAGCAUGUUUGCGAGGCACAGUUUGGACUUAAACGCGAAACUACCUGUUUUACGCCUGUGAAAGCUGCUCCAGGGAAAGCGUACCUCCAAGAUAGCCUUGGGCAAUUACGAAUCAAGACUUGAUGGUUGUUCGUAAUGCAAGUGACCUACACAGGCAUUUAGGGGUGGUGAUG